GACGAACGCUGGCGGCGUGCCUAAUACAUGCAAGUUGAGCGCUGAAGGUUGGUACUUGUACCCACUGGAUGAGCAGCGAACGGGUGAGUAACGCGUGGGGAAUCUGCCUUUGAGCGGGGGACAACAUUUGGAAACGAAUGCUAAUACCGCAUAAAAACUUUAAACACAAGUUUUAAGUUUGAAAGAUGCAAUUGCCUCACUCAAAGAUGAUCCCGCGUUGUAUUAGCUAGUUGGUGAGGUAAAGGCUCACCAAGGCGAUGAUACAUAGCCGACCUGAGAGGGUGAUCGGCCACAUUGGGACGGAGACACGGCCCAAACGCCUACGGGAGGCAGCAGUAGGGAAUCUUCGGCAAUGGACGAAAGUCUGACCGAGCAACGCCGCGUGAGUGAAGAAGGGUUUCGGAUCGUAAAACUCUGUUGGUAGAGAAGAACGUUGGUGAGAGUGGAAAGCUCAUCAAGUGACGGUAACUACCCAGAAAGGGACGGCUAACUACGUG
rnacentral:rRNA from 1 species